GAGACACCCCUGUGGUACAGGACUUGCUUCAGUGGGGCUUGGGUGCUCACUGAGUCUGCUCCUUGAGUGUGUCGCU
rnacentral:pre_miRNA from 1 species